UGGCUAACUCCUACGGGAGGCAGCAGUGGGGAAUUUUGGACAAUGGGGGCAACCCUGACGCAGCAACGCCGCGUGGGGGAUGAAGGCUCUCGGGUUGUAAACCCCUUUCAGCAGGGACGAAAUUGACGGUACCUGCAGAAGAAGCCCCGGCCAACUACGUGCCAGCAGCCGCGGUAACACGUAGGGGGCGAGCGUUGUCCGGAUUUAUUGGGCGUAAAGAGCUCGUAGGCGGCUCGGUAAGUCGGGUGUGAAAACUCAGGGCUCAACCCUGAGACGCCACCUGAUACUGCUGUGGCUAGAGUCCGGUAGGGGAGCGUGGAAUUCCUGGUGUAGCGGUGAAAUGCGCAGAUAUCAGGAGGAACACCAGCGGCGAAGGCGGCGCUCUGGGCCGGAACUGACGCUGAGGAGCGAAAGCGUGGGGAGCAAACAGGAUUAGAUACCCCUGUAGUCCAGCUGG
rnacentral:rRNA from 1 species